UUUCUUACAACGUAUUAGGUUUUACCAACUCGUUGGCUACAGUAAGUUUGAAAAUAAAGCCUGGCUUUAGAACUCUCUAAAGUUUGACCUCGGAUCAGGUAGGAUUACCCGCUGAACUUAAGCAUAUCAAUAAGCGGAGGAAAAGAAACCAACAGGGAUUACCUUAGUAACGGCGAGUGAAGCGGUAAAAGCUCAAAUUUGAAAUCUAGCGUCUUUGGCGUUCGAGUUGUAAUUUGAAGAUGGUAACCUUGGAUAUAGUCUUCGGCUAUGUUCCUUGGAACAGGACGUCACAGAGGGUGAGAAUCCCGUGUGCUGAGGUGUCUAUAUCCAUGUAAGGUGCUAUCGAAGAGUCGAGUUGUUUGGGAAUGCAGCUCUAAGUGGGUGGUAAAUUCCAUCUAAAGCUAAAUAUUGGCGAGAGACCGAUAGCGAACAAGUACAGUGAUGGAAAGAUGAAAAGAACUUUGAAAAGAGAGUGAAAAAGUACGUGAAAUUGUUGAAAGGGAAGGGCAUGAGGUCAGACUUGGUAUUAAGUGAUCAUUUCCUCUCGGGGAGGUGCUCUCGCUUUUUACUGGGCCAGCAUCAGUUUGGGCGGUAAGAUAAUGACAUUGGAAUGUGGCAUUCUUCGGGAUGUGUUAUAGCCUUUGUUGAUGUUGCCAGCCUGGACUGAGGACCGCGCAUUAUUGCUAGGAUGCUGGCGUAAUGGCCUUAUGCCGCCCGUCUUGAAACACGGACCAAGGAGUCUAACGUCUAUGCAAGUGUUUGGGUGUAAAACCCGUACGCGUAAUGAAAGUGAACGUAGG
rnacentral:rRNA from 1 species